GAUGAACGCUGGCGGCGUGCUUAACACAUGCAAGUCGAACGAAGCACUUUAUUUGAUUUCCUUCGGGACUGAUUAUUUUGUGACUGAGUGGCGGACGGGUGAGUAACGCGUGGGUAACCUGCCUUGUACAGGGGGAUAACAGUUGGAAACGGCUGCUAAUACCGCAUAAGCGCACGGCAUCGCAUGAUGCAGUGUGAAAAACUCCGGUGGUAUAAGAUGGACCCGCGUUGGAUUAGCUAGUUGGUGAGGUAACGGCCCACCAAGGCGACGAUCCAUAGCCGACCUGAGAGGGUGGCCGGCCACAUUGGGACUGAGACACGGCCCAAACUCCUACGGGAGGCAGCAGUGGGGAAUAUUGCACAAUGGGCGAAAGCCUGAUGCAGCGACGCCGCGUGAGCGAAGAAGUAUUUCGGUAUGUAAAGCUCUAUCAGCAGGGAAGAUAAUGACGGUACCUGACUAAGAAGCACCGGCUAAAUACGUGCCAGCAGCCGCGGUAAUACGUAUGGUGCAAGCGUUAUCCGGAUUUACUGGGUGUAAAGGGAGCGCAGGCGGUGCGGCAAGUCUGAUGUGAAAGCCCGGGGCUCAACCCCGGUACUGCAUUGGAAACUGUCGUACUAGAGUGUCGGAGGGGUAAGCGGAAUUCCUAGUGUAGCGGUGAAAUGCGUAGAUAUUAGGAGGAACACCAGUGGCGAAGGCGGCUUACUGGACGAUAACUGACGCUGAGGCUCGAAAGCGUGGGGAGCAAACAGGAUUAGAUACCCUGGUAGUCCACGCCGUAAACGAUGAGUACUAGGUGUUGGGAAGCAUUGCUUCUCGGUGCCGUCGCAAACGCAGUAAGUAUUCCACCUGGGGAGUACGUUCGCAAGAAUGAAACUCAAA
rnacentral:rRNA from 1 species